rnacentral:lncRNA from 1 species
CUCAAAUUUAUUUUACAUUCCUUCCAUACUAACUCUUCUCCUUGCAUGUAGACAGACUUGUGGCUGCUUUCAAUGACUUCUGAAAUUAGGUCAUUAAAAGUCAUACAUUCUUUGGCUAGUAAUCUUGGGUUACUCACUCAUGAGAGGCCAAGCUUUAUCUAGGAAGUUCAACUACUCGAGACUGUCAUGCUCAUAUCCUUUAGAAAUAUGGAACAUUCUGGGAGGCCGAGGUGGGCGGAUCACGAGGUCAGGAGAUUGAGACCAUCCUGGCUAACACGGUGAAACCCCGUCUCUACUAAAAAUACAAAAAAAUUAGCCGGGCGUGGCGGCGGGCGCCUGUAGUCCCAGCUACUUGGGAGGCUGAGGCAGGAGAAUGGUGCGAACCCGGGAGGCAGAUUUUGCAGAGAGCCGAGAUCGUGCCACUGCACUCCAGCCUGGGCGACAGAGCAAGACUCCGUCUCAAAACAAAAAACAAACAAACAAAUAUGGAGCAUUCUGAUAUGAAUAAGACACUUGCUCACUUCUCAAUUCCUUGGUGUCCAGCUCUACAAGUGUAUAUAGACUUCCAAAGAAUAUUUAAAUCCUUUAACAAAAAUGCCACCUAAGAAAAUAUGAAAUACUUCAGUCUGUCUGUCAGUGCUCACUUCCUGUCUAGAAACUUUCAGUAAUAAUUCAGGCAUGAGGACACCUUCCUGUGUGUGCAAAACCUCUCAUAUUUUUCAGUGUGGCUCCGGCACAAAUGAACCAUGUUCUUCGCCUAAGUCAUUUAUGGAACAUCUGCUUUCGGUUUAGCAUCAGGGGAAACAAAGCAAAGAAGAAUGACACUGAAGAAUCAAAAAAAAAAAUGAGCAUAAGACCCAUGAAGAUUACAGACACAUACACUCCUAAAAUUAAACAUUAAGCGGAAUAAAAAUAAUCCCAGAUUGUGUGCUAUUAAUCCAGGUCUUCCAAGAAACAAAUGCCAAGAUGGUAUUAAACAUGAAAUGAUUUUAAUUGUUUACAUGCCUGAAAGUAAAUAAAGAGGGUGCCAGCUAAGGCUGAAAAAGUCUUCAGUGAUAUAAAUUUUACCACACUUAAAGAGAGAGAGGAAAAGUUUAAGUGGAAGCUCCUACUCAGCCAUGCUGUCUAAGGAAGAUUUGGCAAAACCUUGAGCUAAAGUCAGCCAACGGAAAUCCCACCUUUCUCCAAAGAAUGGAUCUGCUUUACUAUCUUGCUUGGUCUUAUUGCUUUGUGACCUAGUAAUAUCUUUCUCGAGUGCAUGAAACAUCUCAGAAAUGCAAACAUCAAGGAAGAUACUAAUCCUUUCUUCCAGUUUCUGUGUGAGGGUUGGAGGCUGACUUUGGUGGUGAUCUUGCUCCAAAUUAUAGAACUACAUCCUGUCAUGAAGAGAAGUUUGUCUUCUCGAUAAAGCCAAGUAGCUAACAGAGAUGGUCACCCCAAUUACCAGAUGGACAUAAUUAUACUUGAAUGCUGACCUACAACAUUUUGUGCUGUGCAGAGGCUUUGAAAAUCAAACAACUUUGAAAAUACAAAGCACCGCGUGGAGGGCCUCACUCUGUCGCUCAGGCUGGAGUGGCACGAUCUUGGCUCACUGCAGUCUCUGCCUCCUCCUCUUGGAUGCAAGCAAUUCGGCCUCCAAGUAGCUGAGAUUACAGAGAGGCUGAAAACUCAAGAAAUGUGGACUAAGUGUGUGGGCAAGUGUGUCACUGCUGACUAAAACUAUGAACAGGCUUUCUUCUCGAGUUGGCUACAUGGUGACUAGUGUCUUCAUGUUUACAGUCAAUCACGGAAGCCAGGAAGUUGAAUUAUCUUGAUUAAAUGGGCAGAGGACACAUGCACUACUGAAAUAAUAGAUUGAGGAAAAGUGACACCAAAACCACAUGUACUGAAAUUCGGGAAGUAAUAGUUUACCUGAAGGAAAUCAGAGUGCUGAUACCUUAAACAGUGUUAUGUUAUUCAAAUUCUGAUCGUUUUGUUGUGUUCCAAAUGUUCUGUGUAUGCAUUUCUUAAAUUACAAUUAAAAUGAAAAAGAGACAGAGUCUCACUCUGUCAUCCAGGCUGGAGUCCAGUGGUAUGAUCUUGGCUCACUGCAAACCUUUGCCUCCCUGGUCCAAGUGAUUCUCCUGCUUCAGCCUCCAAAAGUAGCUAGGACUACAGCUAAUCCUAGUGAAUCCUCCAUGAGGCCAUUGUUCUGAAUGGAAGAAGAGAGAUAUAUGCAAUAGGAAAAGGUGACGUGGAAUCUAUGAGAGUCCCAUGUUUAUGUAGCAUAUUGUGCCUACUGUAUCUAUUCAGGAGGGGAUUCUUAAUAUAAGAGAUACAUUUACAAAAUUGCUUCCAUUACCUACAAACACCAUAAAGAAAAGUAACAGUGAUGCAUAUGGACAGAACUGCAUCACCAGAAGUUAGAGGAGGAAAGCAUUUCCUAUCCAACUUUAAAUGCUGAGAAUGAAUAACCAGGAAAAAUGGUACAGAGGACAAAAUACCAACAAAAGUCUCCAAAAGUGAUGUGAAGAAAAUAAGGGGCUCAUCAUUCUAAAUUCUGCAGGAGAGCAGUAGAAGAAAUCAAGGGAAUCCCACAUUAUGUGGGACUCUGCGACUGUAUUGGACACAUAGAAUAAUCUAGGAUAAUCUCUCUGUCUCAAGAUCUUCAAAUGAAUCGCAGCUGUAACGUCCCUUUUGCCAGGGAAGGCAAUAUAUUCACAGAUUCUGAGGAUUAGGAAUGAGACCUCCUUGGAGCCAUUGUUUAACCUUUCAUAGGCUGGAUAAUAGAGUUUUGCAAACUCAAUUUGGGCAGCUGGACAGUGAUCAGGCAACUUUCCGAGUCCCUGACUCCCACCUAGACUGAGAUUCCAAUGCUAGGUGCCCAGAAGUUUCCAACCAAUGCAAAGGUGGCAGCUGGCAAGGGCCCUGUGCAGCAGUAAGGCGAGUCAUAGACUGAUGAGAGAUCACCAUUGGGAAUGAGCUCCAUUUGCCCACAACAGUGAUCGGCUGAUGGCUCCACCCUCUACUUAGUCGCUUCUGUUUCCUGUCCCAUGGAUUCCUCACCCCACACUAAUGCUUCCAGGAACAACUUCUCAAAUAAAUCACUUGCAGAUUUCUAGAUGAUAUGAAUUAUAUUCAGACCUGAAGAGAGGACAGAAAAAUUCUGGACUUCAAACUCAAUGCAAUGAUUGGAUAAGACUUUCGGAGUAACUUCUUUUGGGAUUGCGUAAGAGAUCAAGACUACAGACUUUGAGGUAAAAACAACCUAGAUUCGUGAGAAGAGGAAGAGUAAAAGAACUGCAGCUUUCCUCCCACUCUUAAGGUAUAAAUAUGAAGUCUAGGUCAUUUCGAGUUGGAGAAGCCCCAGCUACUUCAUAAGUGUGAUGCUAGUUUUGAAUGUGCAUUGAGGGACAGCUGGUGUUGAGAAAAAAGGAAAUUACCUUAAUACCAAUAAUUUCAGCACAGAUUGUCAUGUGGUUGGGAAAAUAUUUGAUAUGAAGACAUUGAAUCCACCUUCUAAAGAAUAACAAGAUAUAUUCAUGAAUGGAAGGAUUUGGUAGGGUACAUGAGGACAGAUAUAAAACUGCACAACCAAUGUUACACAAAGGAGGUUUAUUCUUCUUCACAAGAAAGUGAUGUGUAGAGAUAUUCACUGAAUUAUUGAAGAUUAUAUGUGGCAGAGUCAGCUUGGGGAUCCAGGUUGUCUAAUCCAAAGAUUGUUUAACCGAGAAACAAGGUCAAGGCAUGUUCUUCGAUGCUUGUUCAUUAACAGCUCUGCGGGUGAUGCUCCUAGAGAGGUCUGAUGUGUUGUGUGAUGUUCUCACACAAACUAUGUUAAUUUUUGAUCAGUGAUUGUGAGUUUUAAUUGUGUUGAGGUAACUAGAGAUUUGUUAAGUGGACGUUACUUCAAAAAGGUAAGUUGAAGCAGUAAAUGUUAAAACCAAGGAAUCCCCCAAAUUCUUGCCCUUUAUUUUUUGCAUGUUAAUUCCAGAAAAGAAAAAAAAAAAAGCUUGUGGGUUAACGUGGUAUUUAUGCAAGGCUGCCAAUGUAAAUAUAAUUCUGUGAUUUAAUUUUUUACUGGCAUGACAUUAUAUAUAUGUAUAAAAUGUGCAUACAUAAUAUAUACAUAUGUAUAUAUGUUAUAUAUUAGAUGUGUAUGCAUAUAUAAUAUAUAUUAGAUGUAUAAAAUAUAUUACAUAUAUAAUAAAAUAUUAGAUAUGUAUUAUAUAGUAGUAUAUAUAAAAUAUAUACAUAUCUAAUAAUACAUUAUAGAUCAUGUAUUAAUAUAUACAUAUAUCUAGUAUAUACAAUAUAUACAUAUCUAUUAUAUUUAUACACACAUACAUAUACAUAUGUGUAUGUGUAUGUCUGUGCCUGUGUGUCUUUUUGUCUUGCAAGCUCAAUCUUUAAAAAGAAGAGUUCGAGGAGGGAUGGAGAAGGAAGAGAGUGAUUAUAUAUACAUAUACUGUCCAUGUUUGCUUAGCUAGUAUGAAGCAGAAUCUGGAUUCAAAUUCAAGAAGUCUGAUUCCCAAACAGCCACCCAAUUAGGACCGCUUUGAAAACUCCGAGUCUUCUAUUUGAUAUAAGUAUAGCUCAUUGCCAUGGAAAUAAACAUAUGUUUCUUUUUUAAAUUAAAAAAAAUAUUUUUAUUUUGUUUUCAACAUUUAGCAUUUUUUUGCAUCAAAGUUCUAAGUAGCUGCAUGUCUGUUUAUAAUGUGUAUAUUUGUUGUUUGUUUUUCUGUUUUGUUUCUGUAUAGUUUCUUUGUUUGUAUCACUGGUAAUUUAAUCCCUCAUGCUAUGCUGUGGGAUUAUGUACAACAACACAACUUCUUAGCCUCUUCAAACCCUUUCACUGCAAGCUGCUUUUUUGUGCUUUUUGAAAGAAAAGGAAGAAAAACACAUUGCAUUUUCUUAAGAUAAAAUGAUACCUGCUUCUUCAUUUCCUCCUACUCCUUCCUAUUAUCUUUUGUAGAAAGAAUUGCUGAAUCUAUUGAUAUGUAAUUUUCAUUUAAUUCUCCAACAUCUUAUUGCUAUUUAAAAUGGUUUAAGAAAACUGGCUUAAUAUAGCCAAGAAAAAUUCUAUAGUAAUACUUGUCUGUAAUUUCUCUAUAUUUAAAUAAAAUAUCAUUUCUAUCUUGGAGGUUUGAUUUGGCCAUUUAAAAAUGCUAAUGUUUUAUUGUUUUUUCAAAAAAAUACUACAUGCAUGCUCAUAGUAUAAACAUCAAUGUUUCAUUAGGAUAUAUAGUGAAAAGUCAGUAACUUUACAACCUCUGUUUCAAACCCAACCAGUAAUUUAAGUUGUUUUCAUAACAAAGUGUUAUUAUUUAUCUUCUAAUACCUAUAAAAUAUUUAUUUACUCCCCAAAUUAAAUAGAGUGUUGGUUCUUCAAUGAAGGUAUGAAGUUACUUUCAAUUAAAUAUGCAGUUUGAUUAGAAGAAAAAAAAAUCCAUCAGAUCUCAGCCAAGCUCUUUUGGAUGAUUAUUUUUCUUCAAAAUCAAAUACACUAAAAUUUCCAAACAGUAACAGUUACAAUGUUUCAGUUUCUUUUAAGGUAGCCUGAACUGAGACACAUUAAGGUUUAUAUCUAAUUUCAUAGUUCUGUUCAGUAGGAAAUAAGUAAAUUAGUUUAAAGGACUGAUCCAUAUCAGGAGAUCAGGACUGGACAAAGUGUUAAUUUAUCUACAGAUUUUACCAGGCAGAUUGCCAAUAUCCAAGUUCAUUAGACAGGUCCUAGGACUAAUAAGAACUCUUGGGGGCUACAAUGUGAAAUACCUGAGUAUAUGAGUCAGGUAAAGACUUUAGAAAGUUUGGCUUCUACUCUCAUAUUCCCAGGAGUUGAAUAGAUUGGAGUGGAAAAAAUGUGGUCAAAAACUAGUGAUUUUGGAUUAGAAGUAGGGCAUAAAGCUCCUAUUAUUGCACUUGGGCAAUAUUAACUGGAUUGCAAGAAACUGUAAUAUGCAGAAACAGCAUAUUUCCCUUAGGGAGUACAUUUUGUUAAACUUAGUAUUCUUGCUACCUGUUUUGUUACCUAAGCUUAAUGGACCUGGCCCUAGACUUUAGCUUGGUGCAUGGUGAAAAUUGACCUUAAGCAACUGCAGCAUUGUCCAAAUAUUUGGUUUCACAUAGACCAGUUUUGGUUCUUGUUUCUGUGUGACUUUGAGGGGCUCUUUAAGAAAUCCAAGGACAAGGUGCCACAUUUAUUAAGGCCCCGCCAUUCACAAUGCAUGAUGCUAGAGCCUGACAGUGCACCAUGCUAGAGACUGAAGAGACAUAAAAAAAAGAAAAGGCAGAGUUCUUGCUAUCAGGUUCUUAAAAUUUUCUUUGUUUUGGUUAAAUUCUUGAUUGGAUUUUUUCACUAAAUGUUUGGCCCUAUUAAAAAUAAGUAAAGAAAAAAUGAAGGAAGAAUGGAAGAGAGGGAGAAUAGGAAAUGAAUGAAACAAAGCCAAGUAAGAGAUACGUCUACUACAGACCUGCAAGUUGGCAGUGCUUGCAGAAGACAGUUGACAUAUUCUAGCCUGGUUCACAUUUUCUGGUUAACUUUUGAGCAUAGAAUAAAGAAUAUAAUAAAAUGCUUUUUUUUUUUUUUGCACAAUGAACUUUAAACAAAUCAGGAGAGUAUAUUGGUAAUUUAGAGAAGUAGCAAUUCUCAUUAAAUCUGUUUUUCAUUGAAUUAUCAUGCCCUUAAAAUUAUAUGAUAGAUUAUUAUCUUCGGUAGUAUUAGUUUAAAUAAGAAUUAUAUACAACCAAAAUAUCAGUAAGGCUAAUUCUCUGAGACCAUAAGAGAACCAAGUCAAUAUCCCCAUAGCUACAUCAUAUUGAUCAUUCAUUUGAUUUAAGAAGAAAGAAGACAAAUAUGUUAGUGAAAGGGAGACAAAUGAGUAUGUGCCUGGCCUGGCCAAUUCCUGACUCAUUUACAGAGGAAGCUAAUAUAACUCUCUUACUCAUUUUAUGGGAAAUAUGAUAGAUCUGAUUAUAUAAUUUAUGCCUCCUUUCAGACUUCCUACACCCCACUAAUUGUCUCUUCCUUUCUUUUCUCCACCUUUUGCUCAGGUAUUUGGCAGUUAUUGCACUUUUUUGGAUCUUUUUUUUAAGGAUGUUACUAUCAAUCUUUUGCCUACAUCUAAAUGACUUACCUAUGAAGAAGAUCCCAUUUUUAGCCUUAAUAUUUGCAAAUUACUUGAGAGAUGGAGUCUCACUCUAUCACCCAGGCUGGAGGACAGUGGCACGACCUCAGCUCCCUGCAACCUCCACCUCCCAGGUUACUGAUGGAUCCGUCCUAAAUGCCAUCCAUCUCAAGACAGAGGCCCACAGAAGUCAAUGUAUCUUCAAGAUGGGAGUACCUGGAGAUGGCUGUAGAGACCAUGUAGCAGGAAAUGGUGACAGAGAAGAGCUGGGCCUCUGGUACCAACAUGCUUCCCCCCCGUUACAGCUAUGCGGGCUGAUAGUGACGCAAUGUGUGGUUUCAAUACUUCAUAGUGUCUUACUUCACCUCAGUAUAAAGUACUUUGAAAGCAUCAAGGAAAUGGUCCUCAAAAAAGGCUUAUCCAGUCAGGACAUCUGGUGCUGGCUCUGGAAUGAGUGGAUGAAGAUAAGGCCUUCCAGUAUGGAGGUGAUAAAAAUCAGGGAAGACAGGUAAUCACAAUGGAUGACAGACCAGGAUUCCCAGAUAUCUUGGCAUGGCUGGAACAAUGUACAGAUCAAACCAUGUAAAACUUAAUGGGUAUAAACCAACUCUUCACUUUGGUCUAAAAAAGUCCAUUUGCAUGGCUUCUAGUUAAAGGUGGACAGGCUCACUUUAGAAUCCUAUUAUAUACAAAGGAUUUAGGGGGUUUAGUUCACAAUGUGCUAAAGCCAUCUCACAGUGACCAUGGUAUGAGCUGUGUGAUUUGGUUUAAAUAUAAUAGAGAAUGAAGGACAAGGUUGAGGGUGGUGGUUACAGUCCUGCCUGAUUCUGUAGUGCUCAGGUGACCUUUGAAGAAUGAAGAAAGAAGUCAAAACCCCACACUAUUAAGACAUUGGAAGACUGGGAAUGUUUAUUUUCUGAAGAAUAAAAGAUGUAGGAAA